GUAGGUGGCAAGCGUUGUCCGGAAUUAUUGGGCGUAAAGCGCGCGCAGGCGGCUUCCCAAGUCCCUCUUAAAAGUGCGGGGCUUAACCCCGUGAUGGGAAGGAAACUGGGAAGCUGGAGUAUCGGAGAGGAAAGUGGAAUUCCUAGUGUAGCGGUGAAAUGCGUAGAGAUUAGGAAGAACACCGGUGGCGAAGGCGACUUUCUGGACGAAAACUGACGCUGAGGCGCGAAAGCGUGGGGAGCAAACAGGAUUAGAUACCCUGGUAGUCCACGCCGUAAACGAUGGAUACUAGGUGUAGGAGGUAUCGACCCCUCCUGUGCCGGAGUUAACGCAAUAAGUAUCCCGCCUGGGAAGU
rnacentral:rRNA from 1 species